AGUGGCGGACGGGUGAGUAACGCGUGGGUAACCUGCUCAUACAGGGGGAUAACAGUUAGAAAUGACUGCUAAUACCGCAUAAGACCACGGAGCCGCAUGGCUCAGUGGGAAAAACUCCGGUGGUAUGAGAUGGACCCGCGUCUGAUUAGGUAGUUGGUGGGGUAACGGCCUACCAAGCCAACGAUCAGUAGCCGACCUGAGAGGGUGACCGGCCACAUUGGGACUGAGACACGGCCCAA
rnacentral:rRNA from 1 species